AGAGUUUGAUCCUGGCUCAGGAUGAACGCUGGCGGCGUGCUUAACACAUGCAAGUCGAACGAAGCACUUUAUUUGAUUUCCUUCGGGACUGAUUAUUUUGUGACUGAGUGGCGGACGGGUGAGUAACGCGUGGGUAACCUGCCUUGUACAGGGGGAUAACAGUUGGAAACGGCUGCUAAUACCGCAUAAGCGCACGGCAUCGCAUGAUGCAGUGUGAAAAACUCCGGUGGUAUAAGAUGGACCCGCGUUGGAUUAGCUAGUUGGUGAGGUAACGGCCCACCAAGGCAACGAUCCAUAGCCGACCUGAGAGGGUGACCGGCCACAUUGGGACUGAGACACGGCCCAAACUCCUACGGGAGGCAGCAGUGGGGAAUAUUGCACAAUGGGCGAAAGCCUGAUGCAGCGACGCCGCGUGAGCGAAGAAGUAUUUCGGUAUGUAAAGCUCUAUCAGCAGGGAAGAUAAUGACGGUACCUGACUAAGAAGCACCGGCUAAAUACGUGCCAGCAGCCGCGGUAAUACGUAUGGUGCGAGCGUUAUCCGGAUUUACUGGGUGUAAAGGGAGCGCAGGAGGUGCGGCAAGUCUGAUGUGAAAGCCCGGGGCUCAACCCCGGUACUGCAUUGGAAACUGUCGUACUAGAGUGUCGGAGGGGUAAGCGGAAUUCCUAGUGUAGCGGUGAAAUGCGUAGAUAUUAGGAGGAACACCAGUGGCGAAGGCGGCUUACUGGACGAUAACUGACGCUGAGGCUCGAAAGCGUGGGGAGCAAACGGGAUUAGAUACCCUGGUAGUCCACGCCGUAAACG
rnacentral:rRNA from 1 species